GUGGGCCCGCUUAGCUCAGAGGUUAGAGCAUCGCAUUUGUAAUGCGAUGGUCAUCGGUUGUAAACGCGACGGCCUGCU